ACUGCAGUCAGCCACCAGGGGAGAGAGAGAGAGAGUCUAUACUGCAGUCAGCCACCAGGGAGAGAGAGAGAGAGAGUCUAUACUGCAGUCAGCCACCAGGGGGAGAUAGAGAGAGAGUCUAUACUGCAGUCAGCCACCAGGGGGAGAGAGAGAGAGAGUCUAUACUGCAGUCAGCCACCAGGGGGAGAUAGAGAGAGAGAGAGAGAGAGAGUCUAUACUGCAGUCAGCCACCAGGGGGAGAUAGAG